UACGUAGGGCGCAAGCGUUAUCCGGAAUUAUUGGGCGUAAAGAGCUCGUAGGCGGCUGCUCAAGUCGAAUGCGAAAACUCGAGGCUCAACCUCGAGCCUGCAUUCGAUACUGGGCGGCUAGAGUCUGGUAGGGGGAUCUGGAAUUCCUGGUGUAGCGGUGGAAUGCGCAGAUAUCAGGAAGAACACCUAUGGCGAAGGCAGCUCUCUGGGACGGUACUGACGCUGAGACGCGAAAGCGUGGGGAGCGAACAGG
rnacentral:rRNA from 1 species